AUAUACUCAAAUACCCUUUCUUAAAAACACUCUCAGAGUUGUGUGAUUAAGUUGACCGAAUGCAUUCAUCAACUGUCAGUUUAAGCCAGCGCUUCAAGGACGGCUUUACCAGUAUUGUGCCAAAGAUGCUUGAGCUUGUUCAAAGAAAUGCUCCAUUGGCCAAAGUCUACAAAGAAGCAAGAGAAGAGAUGCUUGCAGAAGAUCUACCAGUGUGAUGCUGAUACUCCAUACCCAACCAUACAGUUGGUACAAACUGACUGGAAAAUGGCUUUCUCUCUCCAAGAGGCUUCAAGUCCUUGUCAAAGUUGAUGGUUUGGAGGUGUGCAGGGGAAUAGGAGUUGAAGAAGGGAUAAUUGCAGCCUUCAGUGCUUCCUAUGUAACUUGGCUUAUCCACCCUACAUGAAGAAUACAUUGACCUUCCUGCAGCAUUCCAUGGCAAAGAUUACUGAGGUGGGUGGCAAGCCCCUUCCAAUAACUGUCACAGGAAUAAUUCAUAUCCUGUUUAAAAACGCGACAUUCAGCGUGUUUCAAAUGUGACUGUUGACAGUGUGACGUAUGCUUUAAAAGAUGUAUUCAUAGUUGACUAUAUCCAUGCAGAGGAAAUUCCUCUAUUUUUACAAAUUAAAUGCAUUUUAAAUAUCAAUACUGUAUGGUUUCUGUGUGGGAAGUUUUUAAUAGCAGUGUCGUAUGAUUCACACUUCCAUGCAUACACCGUAAAAGUUUACCUUGAGUGGAGGGUUAUAAAACCAGGGCAAGAGAUGGACUUUCAGGCCCUUGACGCGUACUCUGCUGAUGAUAAAUUGUGUGAUCCUUAAGAAGGUUUAAGAAAGUUCAAAUUAAAUGUGUAGUACUGUAUUUGGUGAAAUGUGUGUUUGUGAUUAAAUGUUUUAAGGGUAUAAAGUUACAAUUAAUGAAAUGUGUA